rnacentral:rRNA from 1 species
UACGGAGGAUCCGAGCGUUAUCCGGAUUUAUUGGGUUUAAAGGGAGCGUAGGCGGCCCGCUAAGUCAGGGGUGAAAGACGGUGGCUCAACCAUCGCAGUGCCCUUGAUACUGGCGGGCUUGGAUGCACCUGAGGUAGGCGGAAUGUGGCAAGUAGCGGUGAAAUGCAUAGAUAUGCCACAGAACACCGAUUGCGGAGGCAGCUUACCAAAGUGCUAUCGACGCUGAGGCUCGAAAGCGUGGGGAUCAAACAGG